AUGGCCACUCUCUCUACACUGCUGUGUGACUUGAGGCCAGAAGAAGAGCCUUUGAAUUUAUGUUAACUUUUCUCAGUUUUCUUUUAUCAUCACAGGGAACCCAGCAAACUGUGUUUUUUUCCCUAAAUGUAACUAGCUGAAUAAAAUAUGAGCCUAUACUUCAAGGAACACCUGGUUGGAAGUUUUUCUUCAUUGCUUCCACUCACACUGCCUGCUUCCCACAGUAUAACAUUUGGUGGCAGUGGUGGGAUGGUACACCUUUGUUGAAGUGGAAGGAGGUAAAGAAGACAGACCAGAUGACAGGUGUGGGCCGUGGAAGAGGCCGAGCCACACGGCAAAAUCUCGCUCAUCAGGAGAGCAGUGACAGUGGGGAGGAGAGGAGUUUGGAGCCAGAGUUCCCACAAAAAGGGGCUAAUGCAUCUUCUCAAGAGCCACCAGACAGCUGCCACGUCAUAGCAGCUGAACCAGUUGACAAGGGACCAGUGGUUCGACCUAAAGUGACUGUGAGUACUCCAAGAGCUACAUUUUCUGAUGAUAGCUUUGUUAGAGAAAUGAGAGACUUUAUUCAACAUUCAAAACACACAGAAGAAAUUUGGUUUGAACAAAUGAAACUGUUGAGAUCAGGUGCACUCAAAACCAGAACCUGAACCAGAGUGGAUGUCAGAAGGACAAUUAAGCCAGCACUAUCCUCUUCCAAAACCUGUUCGUUCCCAAGUCCAAACAACUGACAUUUCAGCUUUCAUGCCUGCAGACAUUCCACUGAGGCCAAAGACCCAGAGUCAGCUUUAUCAGCCAUGUUUAUUUUAUUUGAUGAAAAAUCCAAAAGUGAAAAACCAACUAAUGGUGCAACAACAAUAAUAACUAGUAUAUGAAGAGAGCUUUUUAAAUAAUAAAAACUGACACUAGUUGACGUCUCCGGUCAAGGAUAAGUGUCCAGUGCCCUCUGAGGAAGUUUAAUCUGAGCUUGCUAAACAGUCCAGGUGUGAACAAGCUGCAUCCUCAGGUGCUGCAAAAAGAGAGCAAGUGCCACAAGCUGCAGUUCCUCCAAUGACCACUUGAGGCUGCCAGCAUAGAGGCUGAAGACAGGACCGGAGAUACAGCAGCAGACCUCAGACCAGCUGUGAGCCCCUGUCUCUGCAGAGAGCGUCAGAUAAACUGCAGACGUGACAAGCUCCCCGACACAUCAGCACAAAGUCUGAGAGAGCCUGAGACAGCACAAAGCCCAGUGUGAACAAUUGAACAACAGGGUGGAUGAAUUAUGAAUGAAUAAUCCCACACAGCCUCCCUCAGCAGCAUCCGUCCCAUCUCAUGUACCUGUCCUCACCUGGUCCUCUGCCAGUUAUCCGGGCGCCCUCUCUGCAGAGCUGAUUAGAGGCCCCUUCCUGUAACAGAGGACGAGACAAGGACAACCGGCUCUCCGUCUGCCAGGAAAGCUCUUAGACUCCGCCGCCUGGGCCGAGGCGGAGGCUGAAUGAAGACGGAUGGUCUAAUCCUGAGAAGAAACGGUGGUUUAAAUGUUGGCCUGAGAAGAGGCCGUCACACAGGACUGUAUUUAAUGAGGUAAUCACUGCUGUAGCGAAAGUUAUCCAGUCAGCGUCUUUUAGUUUCUUUCACAUUCAAAUCAAACAUUUUUGUAGCUUUGAGUCCAAAUGUUUCCUUGAUUAUUUGUGUUAUACCUUUUUUCUCUAAAAACCCAGAGUGAACUUUAAUGCUCAUGGUGGUGUUGAUGAUACUUCAGGUCUCCUGCUCACUGGAGGGCGCCAAACAGCAGUAAGAGAGUCUUUACUUCAACUGGACUCUAAAGAUUUUUUCUUUAGCUCAGUCACUCAGGGCCCAGUUCAAGUGUUUCCUUGCUCUCCUCCUCUCCUCUUCUCCUCUCUCUUGAUCUGUUCACACAUCUCACUGUCUCUGUCUUCAUUCUCAAGGCUGUGACAUUUAAAGAAUCUCUCUUUUCACCUGCUCCUUAAGUUGUUCAAUUCAUAUUUUUAUUAUUUACUUUCCAAGCCUUGACAUUUUUUUAGCGAUGUUAGCAGUGUAGCUCUUAAAAGGGAAAUGUCAGCCUGUCAGUCGGGUCAAGUCUAUGAUGCCUUUCAUACUUUUAUUUAUUUGACCAAAUACUGACUGACAUUCAGGCGCAGUCCUUUGGUAUUAUAGGUAUACCUCAAAGCAAUAAAAACAAGAUUAAUACACUGA